ACAUUAUACCUGCUAUCGGCUGAACGUUACUGUUAAAAACAAAAGGAAUGAUACCAUAUCUAAUCUGUGCUGCAAUUUGUAUUGCGGGGACCAAUAGCCAAAUAAAUAUGAAGUGGACACUUGUAUUUGUUGCUCUGUUUUUCCACUGUGUUCCAGUUAUCUUUACUGAGGAUGCAUCAAACAAAAACGGUGAACAAAUAGAAGAAAAGCCCGCCAAAUUGAAUAUCGAAGACUUUGCACGGCCUGUUGGAAGAAAAGCUCAGGAGGUGAAAAAGCAGAGUAAAGAUCAAUAUCGAGGAUUAUGCGCAUCCUGUCUGGCGAAGGAUUCCGAAAGUUGUUGAAAAGCUUGAUCAGGGAAAAAGCCUUGGGAAGCAAGACGAUACACAACAUGUUGCCAAAAAUGUUCAAGCAAUCGACAACUUGGUAAAAGCUUACCAAAUACUUAGUAAGCAAGUGGAGUAUCUCCAGAAUAGGUCCAGGGUGCAUAGAACAGGCAUCAACAGCAGUGUUGAUAAUAUUCCUCCAAAAUACCAACCAAGGCCGAGACAAAAACUACACGAGUUCUUCAGGCAACUUCGACAGAAAUGCAGAGUCAACUCCCCGGAACUAAACACUCCUUAUUGCAGGCUGUUUAGCUACUGGCUUUGAUUGCGUAAAUAAAAUUAGCAAAAGUU
rnacentral:misc_RNA from 1 species